rnacentral:rRNA from 1 species
GAGCGGAUGACGGGAGCUUGCUCCUGGAUUCAGCGGCGGACGGGUGAGUAAUGCCUAGGAAUCUGCCUGGUAGUGGGGGACAACGUUUCGAAAGGAACGCUAAUACCGCAUACGUCCUACGGGAGAAAGCAGGGGACCUUCGGGCCUUGCGCUAUCAGAUGAGCCUAGGUCGGAUUAGCUAGUUGGUGGGGUAAUGGCUCACCAAGGCGACGAUCCGUAACUGGUCUGAGAGGAUGAUCAGUCACACUGGAACUGAGACACGGUCCAGACUCCUACGGGAGGCAGCAGUGGGGAAUAUUGGACAAUGGGCGAAAGCCUGAUCCAGCCAUGCCGCGUGUGUGAAGAAGGUCUUCGGAUUGUAAAGCACUUUAAGUUGGGAGGAAGGGCAGUAAGCGAAUACCUUGCUGUUUUGACGUUACCGACAGAAUAAGCACCGGCUAACUCUGUGCCAGCAGCCGCGGUAAUACAGAGGGUGCAAGCGUUAAUCGGAAUUACUGGGCGUAAAGCGCGCGUAGGUGGUUCGUUAAGUUGGAUGUGAAAGCCCCGGGCUCAACCUGGGAACUGCAUCCAAAAC